UUAAGGUUGUGAAAUUCAUGUCUGGUUCUUUAACCUUGGCAUGAGAAUGAAAGAAGUCGUUUUAGUAAAGAAAUUUUUGGAUGUUUGUGGGUAACAUCUUUGGAAACACGAGACUUUAACUCGUCCAUGAGGGGUAAUCUAUUGGAUUAAGGGCUUGUUGCAUGUGCUAAAUUCAAUCGUGAUUUCUUGCGGAAGUGGUUUAGAGUAGUUGCUUUUAUUUUUCUUUUUGAUUUUAUUUUAGUCGCCUUAAUUGCUAGGUUCUAAAAUUAAAGCUGGUUGGGAGGUGUGAUGAAUGCUUAAAAUUACGUAGUUAUUCUAGGAAUUUUGGAUAUUAUAUUCAUUCUCUCAAUUUAUAUUUAAUUGUGAUUUAAUGUAUUUAAUUUAAAUUUUUAGAAAAACUACAUUUGAGCCAUCAACAAUAUAAAUUGCUCAACCAGGCCCAUAAGACUCGGUUUGCUUUGAAAUCAUCUCAUAGCAUCCACAAAACUUCUCUCAAAGAUAAUAGCAAGAACACUAGAUCUGACCGCAAUGUUGUCAAGGGUGCUUGGGCUGCUCGAAUUCAGCGCAACAAGAUGUUUUACUCAGGAAAUUCGUUUAUUUUUUCUUUAUUUUGGAGAGGUGGUUCUACAUGAUGCUGAUCCCAGUAGGAGGACCUUCAUUCAUUCAUGUUUGAGCCGUGAAUUUUUAGACCCUGUUGUUGCUGCUACACUGACUUUCGAAAUCUUAACAAGAGAAAACUUCUAACUAAUUUUCCUACAUUACUCCCUUAGUUUUUUCCAUUAAUGCUAAAGCUCAUGAAAUGUAGAGAAAAAAAUCGUUUCUAAGUGUGCUUCUAGCAUUGAUGUCUCUUGGAUCAUUUGUUCAGCUUAUUUCCAUCUCUCGUUGACUUACCAAAAAAACUACAUUUGAGCCUUCAACAAUAUCAAUUGCUCAACAAGGCCCAUAAGACUCGGUAUGCUUCUAAAUCAUCUCAUAACAUCCACAAAACCUCUCUCAAAGAUAAUAGCAAAAACGCUAGAUUUGACCGCAAUGUUGUCAAGGGUGCUCGGGCUGCUCGAAUUCAGCAAAACAAAUGCUUUUCAUCGAAUAAAGGAUAAUAUUUCUAUUGCCUAAAGGCAGGAUUGCAUAUUUUUGUCGAUAAGGGAGCAUAAAAGGUGUGCUGUUUUGGAAGAAAAAAGGGCAUCUAGUUGAUUGACUAGUCCUCCCCGUGUCAUUGUAUAUGAUAUGUUUUUAAUGUUAAUAUUGUUUGUACUCACAGGAAUUGUUAAUCCUUCACAAAAGGUUCUUUUGUAUAAAACUAGACUACAUUUGUUUCCUGGUAAAUUGAGAUCUAGAUGGACUGGGCCGUUUCAUAGUUAAAACUGUUUUUUCUCAUGGGGCCCAGAUUGAAAAUCCCAAGAAUGGUAAUGUUUUUAAAGUGAUUGGCCAACGUCUUAAACCAGUUUUGGAGAAUUUCCCACCUAAAGAGGAGAGGAGUCCAUCGAAUUAAAAGACCCUAUUCAUUCAUUCAUGUUUGAGCUGUGAACUUUUAGACCCUGUUGUUGCUGAAGCUACACUGGACUUUCGGAAUCUUAACAAGAGAAAACUUUUAACUAAUUUCCUUACAUUUCUCCCUCAGAUUUGAAAAAUCGUUUCUAAGUGUGUUUCCAGCAUUGAUGUCUCUUGGGUCAUUUGUUCAGCUAUUUCCAUCUCUCGUUGACUUACCAAGUGGAUAAAACAUCACUACUUCGCUAUGGCCAUGGCACUUAUCAGUCUCACUUGAGAGACCCAGAAGCAGGCUAGGAGACUGGACGUUGUUUGGGGAGAAACUGCUGGAGUCGACGGUCAACUAUGGUUGUUGGCACCCAUUCUAUUCAUAUUACAGGAUGUGCUCUUUCAAGUUCAUUGGUUGACAGCGAUGCUAACCAAUUUCUUAUUCUCUAUGGCAAGAGACUCCAUGUGAGCUACUAAGCAGAUUCUGACGCUGUAUCUACUGAAUGGGAAGUUGAGAGUGAUGAUAAAAGUGAGGGAGAAUCUGAAUGUGGGUUAACAACUUUGGUUGACAUGCCUCUUAAUAGUUUUCCAUCUACAGUUUCUAAAGAAACUUUUGAACUCAAGAUCAAGGCUGCAGCAAAGAGGAUCUAUGUUGAUGUUGAUUGGCAAUGGUGGAAAACAGUUCGGGCUGCAUCAGAAGAUUUGAUUUUGUGUUUUUGGAAAUAUUUUGACAUAGGAUUUUGAUAAAUGAUUUAUGGAUUAAAUGUUUAGCAUCAAAAUAUUUAAUUUUGUGUUUUUGAAAAUAUUUUGACAUAGGAUUUGA